AGUGAAUUUGGAUUGGGUGUCUGCAUUUCAGCCGGAAGCCUCUCCAAGGAGGAAAGAGCUCAAGGGUCCUUUGCCUCUCAGCUGGUGUCACUUCAUGCUGCAGGUGAAGCAAAUCAGCCAAGAGGUAUCUCAUGACUCUGCCUUCCUGCUUCAAGCCAGUGAAGGUUUCUGUGAAGGACCACUCAGCUUCAGGGACUGAGUGAAGUCUAACCACCCUACUGACUCAGCCCUGCAAUGCUCAGCAGCCAAGAGGAAGAACAAGCAGAUGAUGCCCUAGUUGACAUCAGAGAGUCAACAGCAAAGGCAGGAGAAAAGCCUUAAUUCCUGAGUACUUUCUCUUCAUUGUAGAUUUCUGUUGGGAAAUAUAUUCACACAUAUGCAUUAACCUGGAUAUUUCCAGUGCUUUAAAUUAAAAAUGAACUGACUUUUUUUUUCUUUUGCUUGGCUUCUAGUGUUGUAAAUAUGUUCAUUUCUCUGUGUUCUUAAUGAAAGUGGCUUUCUUCCUCUGUGCUUUUUUUUUUCUCUGUAAAGACACCUACAAAACUGUAUGAAAGUAAAGUACAUUUCUAUGGGACAAAGAGAAUGAACUCUUAUCGCUCUCUCUCCCUCUCAAAGAAAAGCUAAACCUUCAGCACUUCCCUGUUGUCUUUUGUAAACAUCCUUGUGCAUGUAAGUGCUAUGGGGUGCCCAUACAGGAUAUGCAGCGUGCACAGCGUGUAACAAUAGUACUUCUCCAGAAAUACUUACCAAGUUAUUUGCAUCCUAAACAGUAUGUAAGAACAUAAGUACGUGACAGUAUGUAUGUGAGUGAAUGUGACAUGGCUGGGUUGGGUCUCGUGUCUUGGAUUCAUGCCUGGUGUGACUGGAAACAGCCCUGGUACCAGAAGUAAACUGU
rnacentral:lncRNA from 7 species